rnacentral:misc_RNA from 1 species
GAUGAAGAACGCAGCGAAAUGCGAUAAGUAAUGUGAAUUGCAGAAUCCAGUGAAUCAUCGAAUCUUUGAACGCACAUUGCGCCCCUUGGUAUUCCGAGGGGCAUGCCUGUUCGAGCGUCAUUAUAACCCCUCAAGCUCAGCUUGGUGUUGGGGCCUGCUGCACUGGCAGCCCUUAAAAUCAGUGGCGGCGCCAUCUGGCUCUAAGCGUAGUAAUUCUUCUCGCUAUGGAGUCCUGGUGGAUGCUUGCCAUCAACCCCCAAUUUUUCUAUGGUUGACCUCGGAUCAGGUAGGGAUACCCGCUGAACUUAAGCAUAUCAAUAAGCGGAGGA